UUCCGGUUGAUCCUGCCGGACCUGACUGCUAUCGGAUUGAUACUAAGCCAUGCGAGUCAUUGUAGCAAUACAAGGCAUACGGCUCAGUAACGCGUAGUCAACCUAACCUAUGGACGGGAAUAACCUCGGGAAACUGAGAAUAAUGCCCGAUAGAACAUUAUACCUGGAAUGGUUUAUGUUCCAAAUGAUUCGUCGCCAUAGGAUGGGACUGCGGCCUAUCAGCUUGUUGGUGAGGUAAUGGCCCACCAAGGCGAUUACAGGUACGGGCUCUGAGAGGAGAAGCCCGGAGAUGGGUACUGAGACAAGGACCCAGGCCCUAUGGGGCGCAGCAGGCGAGAAAACUUUGCAAUGUGCGAAAGCACGACAAGGUUAAUCCGAGUGAUUUCUGCUAAAGAAAUCUUUUGCAAGUCAUAAAACCACUAGUGAAUAAGGGGUGGGCAAGUUCUGGUGUCAGCCGCCGCGGUAAAACCAGCACCUCAAGUGGUCAGGAGGAUUAUUGGGCCUAAAGCAUCCGUAGCCGGCUCUGUAAGUUUUCGGUUAAAUCCAUGUGCUCAACGCAUGGGCUGCCGAAAAUACUGCAUAGCUAGGGAGUGGGAGAGGUAGACGGUACUCGGUAGGAAGGGGUAAAAUCCUUUGAUCUAUCGAUGACCACCUGUGGCGAAGGCGGUCUACCAGAACACGUUCGACGGUGAGGGAUGAAAGCUGGGGGCACGAACCGGAUUAGAUACCCGGGUAGUCCUAGGUGUAAACGCUGUGGACUUGAUGUUGGGGGCGCUCCGAGCGCACUCAGUGUCGAAGCGAAGGUGAUAAGUCCACUGCCUGGGGAGUACGGUCGCAAGGCUGAAACUUAAAGGAAUUGGCGGGGGAGCACCACAAGGGGUGAAGCCUGCGGUUCAAUUGGAUUCAACGCCGG
rnacentral:rRNA from 1 species